rnacentral:tRNA from 1 species
GUGGGUAUAGCUCAGUGGUAGAGCACGUGCUUAGCAUGCACAAGGUCUUGGGUUCAAUCCCCAGUCACG